GACAGAGGGUGCAAACGUUGCUCGGAAUCACUGGGCGUAAAGGGCGUGUAGGCGGGAAGUAAAGUCAGAUGUGAAAUCCCUGGGCUCAACCCAGGAACUGCAUUUGAAACUCACUUUCUUGAGUACCGGAGAGGAAGGUGGAAUACCUGGUGUAGAGGUGAAAAUUCGUAGAUAUCAGGUGGAACACCAGUGGCGAAGGCGGCCUUCUGGACGGUAACUGACGCUGAGACGCGAAAGCGUGGGGGAGCAAACAGG
rnacentral:rRNA from 1 species